UGAUGGGUGGAUUUACAGC
rnacentral:siRNA from 1 species